AACAUCGCGCACCUGCGGGAACCUGCGGAAGGAUCGUUACCGAGUUUACAACUCCCAAACCCCUGUGAACAUACCUAUACGUUGCCUCGGCGGAUCAGCCCGCGCCCUGUAAAACGGGACGGCCCGCCCGAGGACCCUAAACUCUGUUUUUAGUGGAACUUCUGAGUAAAACAAACAAAUAAAUCAAAACUUUUAACAACGGAUCU
rnacentral:misc_RNA from 1 species